CUUCUUGCAUUUAUGACAAUAGGACUUUACUUUUAAAAUGCACAAAAAAGAAGUGCAGUUUCUAGUGUUUUAAUGCCUGGCCAGAGAUUCCUCUCACUUGCUACUGUUUUAGUAAUAGAGACAGUCAGUGCGUUUACAUGCAAAGUUUAAUCGGACUAAGCUCAUAAUUCGUUUUUUUUUUUCCCGCCAAAUCAGACAGCUCUCCUUGUCUGCGUAAAAAUGCAGCUGAGAAAAUUGAAUUAUUGACAUGAGCGUGUCCUCCUCCCCAAAACUAGGGGGCGAUAUGGCUGUGUCCAACCCCAUACAACUGUCAACAACAACAGCAAGUCUGUGCCAGACGUUAGAAGUGGCUACAACUGCAUCUGCUGGGUAUUUUCAAGCAAGAAGAUUGAGCAUCGUACAGCGUUGUUUUUGCGCUACUUUUCCUGCAGAUGAGAUGCACGCUACUCCUCUUCUCUGGUGUUUUUGUUCCGGGAUUAUAGGGGCGUGGCGCACUUGCACAUGCAUUGUCCGAUCAUACUCCGACUAUGCUGGUUACAUGGUAGAGGAAAUCGAAUCACGAUCGCAUUAUCUAGGUGUCUUAAUCAGAGUUCUCAAACUUCGAUUAUAGUCGGACUAAGGUGGUUACAUGCAAUUCAGUUGUACAGUCUUAAUCGGAGUAAGGCAAUAACUCUGUUUUCUCGAGUGUCAUGUAAACGUACUGACUGUCACUUGAAAGAUGAGUAUUCUAACCCAGGACGAAAAUAACAUCUGCAUCAAGAAUAUUAAAAUGUGCGAGGUACCAAAACACAUGGAAGACUUUCUCCAGUGUUUGUUUCUCUGGUCAAAAAGUAUACUCUCAUCAUUCAGCCUUGGUAAGAUGACUUACGACCUAGUUAAUAGUUUUUAAAUUAGUCUAAACAGCUGGCUAAAAAAGUAGUACUUUGUGUUCGAGGUUGUUAAGACUGUACUGACAGUUGGCUCAAGGUCAUAAUUUACCAACGAUUUAUUUACCGUCUUUCUUCCCCUCACAUGCCUGGGAAGCCUGGCUUCCUAGCUACAGAACUGUGUUUGCACAGCCUCUGUAGGUUACAGCUCUUUAAAAACAGCUUCAAGCAAGUAAUCUGUGUUGUUCACCUCCAUCCUUGACCCAGGACAAGGAUUUAGAUUAAUGUGCAGACUUUAGAGGAUAUCUAUGUUGUGGGUGGAUGCAGAGAGAGAGGAAGAGAGGGAAUCCUCUCUGAACGUCUUUUUCUACUUUGUAUGCCCACGCUUGGAUUUGACCCGGGAUUUAACCCUCUAUCCGGGGAUCACACUGAUCACCACUUAUCAUGUCCUCUCAGCUUUAAGCUUUUGCCCUGCAGAUGUUAAAUGUAGAGAAUAAUCUCACCCUGAAGUAUAACAAAUUUGAGGAAUACUUUGUGACUGUCUGUAUUCAUCUUUUUCUGUGAGAUGUUUGGGUGUAGCCUGAAUCAGAGACACCAUCAUCACACCCUGAGGCAGUUGACAGUAUUGAAACACAAUUUCUGGUUUUAUUGGAACUAGGGAUGUCUCAACACGAUGUUGAUAUUGGUAAUUGGUCUGGUAUCAGCAAAAAGAAACAAAUAUCAGAUUAUAUUGGCCUGCAUCUAAAAUCUCUGAUAUCAGCACUGCGAUAUAAGCAGUCCAUUCCAGACUCCACUCCGGCACCUGUAGCUAGCAGCACCUGGUUAUGCUAAGGUACUGACAAAAGGGGAAGGAGUGAUGUUGGCCGUGUAGCAGUAUUUUCUGUAAGGUGCAAUAAAAAUGUUGCAGCUGAGUGCAAAACUUGUCAUGCACAAUUUUGUGCCAAUAUCAGAUCAAUAUCCGUAUCAGCCAAUACAAAAGGGUACAAUAUCAGUAUCGUAUAGGAAGUAAAAAAGUUGUAUCGGGACACCCCUAGUUGGAACCAGAGGCUAUUUUUGGACACUCUCAAGCGCUCUCAUGAUAACUGUAUGUUCAAGGUGCUUGGUGAGGUUUGUUCUGUUUCAUGGCAUCUUUUUGCCACAGAGGCUUUGAUAACUCAGAGGGUUUGCAAUCGCUGUAGGCAAAGUAGACUCACUCUGGUUUCCUGAAGUCACAGAUUGUUGGUAGUGGACAUGUUUAGGCAGAGGCAUUGCUUUUCUCUAUCUCACACUGCUUUGGCACACAUCUCCCUGAGUUUGAGACUCUUGGAACUCUACUAAAAGCAGACAUCUAGAAUGAAGAUCUUCAAAUUUACACCCAAACCCAUUUUCUCAUCAUUAAGUACAUUAUCUGGCUGCUAUUCAGGGUCACCAAUGAAACUAAUCGAAAACUACUAUUGCUGCUAUAUUAUCCGUACCAUAUUACCUGCUAUUAGAUGUUAACUUCUCCAGACUUGGUGCUUUCAAAAAUGUUGGUUGCCCUGUUUACACAUUUCCAACCCACUUUCAUUUCUCUGCAGGUGGCAUGUUGUUCUCAGACCAAUUGUUCUCAGAAAAAAAAAAAAAAGGUGUUACUAGAUUUCUCACUCUGCCAACAUUUCCACAAACUUUAGAGGAUUCUCUUUUGCGAAGUAAGAUCUGUAUUGUAUUUGUCGAUGCCGUGCAUAAAUACAGCAUGAUGUUGGCUUAUACAACAAGGCUGAACUACAACACCAGUUUUAUAAGAGUUGGAGGGCUGUGCAAAUUGUUGAUCAAAAAACAGAGCAAGAUGGUUUGCAAACUUUAAGCAAAAUAGUGCAAAAAAUAUUUAAAAAUUUGAUCAUGCUGUGAAAAAUAUUUGCUCAUUUAUUGAUUUAAUACCAGCUACAUGUAUUGGAAAACUUUUACAAAGUUUAGUAGUACUUAAAACACACCCGAAGAAACAUGUCCCAACUAAUAAGGUUGGUUUGUAAUGGUUUUGUAACAUAACUGGGUGUAAAAGUGCACCCCAGAGAGGCUUAGUCUCUCAGAAGUAAGGAUAGGAAGAUAUUCACUACGUUGUCAGAGUCUGGGUGAGGGAAAGAGUGCAGCAAUUUCAGAAUAAUGUUCCUUAGCCGAACACUGCAAAGAGUUGUGGAUUUCGUCAUCUACAGUACCAGCAUAAAAGACUCAGAAAGUCUGAAGAUGGAUAGACUAAUGGAUUAAGAUAAGCUUUGAGUUGUUUUCAGCUGUGAAACAGAACCCCACAGCUCCAGCCCACAGCAUGUUAACCAUACACUAAUAGUCUUUGGGGUCACGUGCAAGUGAAGGGGCCUAGUGGAUAUAUGCUUACAAGGAGGCAUUUACAUUGUUUUAAAGCUCGCGGUACAGCUGAACUAAUGCUCCCUGAAUUAUUCACUGCUCUCAGAACAUGGGAGAAAAGAAGAAAGAGAGAAAGGAAGGAAGGAAGAAGGAAAGAAAGGAAGGAAGGGGCUUUUUAUUCACUUUACAGAUAACAAGUGAUCAAACUAAUGCUAUCAGACGUCCUUGAUGGCUGUUAAUGUUGAGCAAUAACCGUGGUUGAAGGAUGUGAAAAUUAGACUUGCCACGGACACAGGACAUCUCUGGUGUGUGACCUGACGACAUUUGACUUAAAGAGCCAGCUGGUGUCUUGACAGACUAUUUCUAUUUUAAGAUUUCAUAUGUAGUAGGUCUAAGGAUGUAAUGUAGUAGGUCUAAGGAUGUAACACUGUACGUUGGUAGUUUGUGUGCUGUGAGCUCAGGAAAACUGAACACAUGCCAAGUAUUUGUUUACAUACUAACCUCUUGUUUUUGUAUUCUCUAUAUCCCCUUCUUGAUUAACUGACUUUCUAGCAAUAUUGAUCCCCUUAGUUCACUUAAAUAAUCUGACAAUAUUAAUAACACUGAAAAUAAUUCAUUUUAGAUGCUAUAAGUCCAUUGAAAUCUUACAUGAAAGUUGAACACUCAUUUAAUUUUAUUUUUAUUUCUUUUUUUAUUUUAUCAUAAUGCUAUUUGGACUGAACCAAUUUUUUGCUAAAUUCAUUUUAUUAAAAAUUUGGUACAAAAAUGUUAAGAAGACCCUCUGCUCUCCCUAAUAAAUCAGACUUUUGUGUCAGUUAGCAUCACCAUUAACCAUGGAAUCACUGCUGAAGUACAUCACAGCCACAGUCAUGCCAACUUUCUUUAUUAAUUUCUUGUUGCAAAAUCAAAAUAGUAUAUAUUUUUUCCUUCCCAAUAAUUUAGUUUGAUGUGUAGGUGUUUAACUAGAAGUAGAGAGAAGGGGGGAAAUGGUUUGCCACGCUGAUUUUGCUCAAGAGGGGGUAAAGUGUAACCUGAGCACAGGAAGGGAAACUGAAGAUGUAGGGUGAGCCUCAUAAAAAAAGAAAGACAGGGAAGAUUAAAUACAUAAUGAAUCACUUCUUGAGUGACAUGACACCUCCUAAAGAUGGUGUUUGGUUGAUGCUGAACUCAAGAUGAUGCUGAACCAAAGAUACUAUUCCCAUUACAAUCAUCGGGCCCUUUAUUAGACCUGUCACAAAGAGCCCUGGCGUGCAGCAGAGUGUCAUCGCUAUUUCCUGCCUGACACAGUUACCAAUUUUCACACCCAGCUCCCACACCGUGUAAACAGCGAACGUUUUUGCACCCAUGUUAGUUCUCGUGAGUGUGUUUUUCUUGAGAUGAAGUGUGGUUAGGUGCACAGGUGAUGCACUGCUAUCGUGAGAAUGUGUCUGCACCGUAAAGCGAGUACAGCAGUUUCCUGUUGGGAAGAGGUGUAAGAGUUCACAGUGAUUGUUUCCUUUACACACUUACAGAGAUGCCCAGUGACUGUUUCUUUGGUUCAGUGUUAUAGUUUCAGAGGAUGUAAUAUAAAACCAUCCACUGUCCCUUUUCAAAUUAACAAAUAAAGUAAAUGAACAAACAAGGGACUUCAACCAACCUCUUUGCACCUAGUGGCUUUAUGCUUUUUUGACAACAGUAACAACCAAGACAGUCUGGCUGCAGACCUCCAAUGUGAGGACCCGCUCCACUGAGCAGACCGGAAGUUAAAUCAAGUGCACUGUUGAAUUGGAGCCUUUCAAAAUAAAAGCAACUGUACCGGAAGUACAUUUUUUAUGACGGAAGUUGAUUUGAAGCCUUUCAAAUUAUAAGCGAUUGGACUAAGGAGUAUGUAUUUUUUGUCUCGUGUGAAUAUACUUUAUUUUUUUGGGACUUUAUUUUAUGUUUAUAAUGUUAAACUUCUGUUGACCCUGACUUCUGUAGAGGAUUUCUGCGUUAUUACAAAGAUACAGCCGGCACCUCAAUAUGACGUAUGGCCCAGUCUAACCCGUACACGGAGUAACACUACCGACUCACCACAUGCUGUUCGUUAUGGUGCACAGACUGUAACAGUCUUCACAACAUCUAGGCUACUAAAGUUACUCAUCACAGCGCACUGAACUUUUUUUCCAUCCAAGGAAAUUGAGUUUUUUCCUUAUUUUGCAAAUAUAGCUGUGUUGAUUGUUGUCUAGUUUGUGUGUUUUGUUUUUUAUACUUCAUUAACAUAGUUUGCUCUGUGUUUGAAAAGAAGACAUGACCUAUCAAGAUUAGUUCAUGUCUGUCAAAUGUAGCUUACACUGCCCCAUUCAUAUGAACACACUUAAAGUAAUCCUGGUUUGACUGAUCUGUUUGAUAACAAGCUUUAAUGACUCCAUCUUCUUUGUCAGGUUUAGUUAAGCCAGGCAAAAGAUACCUGAGGUAUGUUGAACUCAUUUAUACUGGGAUUCAUAUACAGGAAUUAUCUUUACCAUAACUUUCAAACAGUUUCAAUAAUCAAUUUUAAACUUGCUGUGCAGGGGUGGUGUGAAUAUAGGGAUUGAUUUGCAUUAGUUGCCCUCAUAGAUCCACAUACACACAGAAGCCUCAGACUAAUAACACAGGGUAUGAGGGUAGCUAUUUUUAAAGUGACACCUAAAUUAGAAAUACAGCAUGAUUAUUGAUUACGUAAUCAUAAAGAUCUGAGUGGCUUUUAUGUAACUCCAUGUGUCAUUGACAUGUAGCCAUAACAUUCAUUCCAUGUCACUGCAGUUCAGUAGGACACAGACAGGUCAAUAUGCACUGCUCUGGUCUGGAGCAUAUCCGGACCAAUGUUGCUUGGACAAAAUAACCUCUACUGAAACUAAGUUUUUGUUUUGAAAGUCACUGUUGCUGUUCGAUGGAAAUUAUUGAGUCAAAAAUUAUACAGUUGUAUGUAAUUUUGAAUAAAACUUCUCAAAGAGGCAAUUUUAAAGUGGCGAUACUAGACUUUGUCAUAUUUGAUAAGAAAUUAUCAGGUCAAAGAUGUCAAUACGAAUAGUUUCAGUACCGAAUUAAACAUGGGUGGGUGUAAGCUGAUGAUAAGACUGCAGACUGCUUUAAACAACUUAAAAAAAAAAAAAACAAGUAAGAAUUAAAGGGUAACUUCUGUAUUUUUCAACCUUGCCCCCUUGUUCCCCUUGAAGUGAGAAGGACACAAAAUUGUUUAUAUCAUGAUAUCCCCCAGUGGUGAAUCUCAUGAAAAGAGCAGGAUAAAGAAAACACUAAUCAAACAGGACUGUAUUGCUCUGUUCUUAGCUGCAAGCGAUUUUUAUGCCUCUUUCCAAACUUUCUGGAGCGCAUGUGGGUCCAAAAUAUGACCAUGUUUCAAAAUUUCUCAUUUUAAAGAGAGAAAUACUGAUUAACUCCUGGUUAACUCUCAAACUGUCCUUGUUUUGAUUGAUACUAUCACCCAAGCGGUCACCUAUUUCAAAUACAAAUAAAUUUGUUGUGGCCGUAUAUCAUUUUCAUAUGUUAAAUGGUGUUAAAAGCCCACGCUAGCCUGCUUUCCAAAGAAAACUUUAAUCCAAAUUGGCUUUUAGUUUCCAAGUUAAACAAUCUGCCAGUGGUCUUACUAUUCUUAAUGGUUAAAAUACCACAAAUAAAACCCCAACACCACGUAUAUUUCCUCAAAUCUUUCAAUUAAUACUUACUGACAUUUACCUUGACUUGCUUUCCAUGCAGAUAAGACAGAAUGAAGAUAAUCUAGGAGGUGUGUCUGACUUUCCUCCCAUGGCUGGUAGAGGCGCACAAUUUGGAAACGCUCAUAUAGGUCGUAUUAGAGGACCGGAACAAAUGACCUACUCGGUCAUAUACAUUGGAGGACUUGUUGCCUGCUUUGUCUUGUGAAGAUGUUACAUCAUAUUCUGUAAUUUGUUGUGAAACCAAGCACUCUAUAAUCUUUUUGCUCUGUAAGAUGUAAAUGCAAAUUUCAUGCUCUGCAACUGUGGUGUACCUCAUUAUUGCUGCUUCCACUUUGAGUGACGCCAGUGUGGAGCCACAGCUAUGUGUGGUCUAGCUGUGGCUGACCGUUAUUGAUCUGCUGUCGACCAGUCUGACAUCACUGAAGUGUACCAACCAUUUUUGCCUUCACAAACCUGCAGAGUACAUGCAGAGACACAUGGCUGCUGUUUUUCUGAGACAAGAGUUACAGAAGUCGCAAAAAAUUAUCAAAACAUUUUACAUUAAAGUCAAUGGGAGAGGCAACUAUUGUAGUUUUUCAAACAUCCACCGGCUCUAUAUACUUUCACCUAGAGAUUCCAUUUAAACUUUAAAAUGUAGACACAAGUCUUGUCCAUUGGUGUAUUACUCCACAUUUCAAUAGGUAUUGUAGUUUUUCAUGAAUCACUGAUCAAUCAUCAUGAUUAUUUUUGGAGAAACUUGAGAUUAUAAUGGGUGUGUAUUGCACCAAACAUCUUUUUAACUUGCCUAAUUUCUUUGGCAAAGAGACCAAACACAACUCGCCUACUCUCUUCCAGCAGCCGCUUGUUUGUAGCGAGACCUCAGGCCAGUCCAUUACGGACUGCAGCGGGGUGACGCAGCUCAUGGAAGAACAUUUAUGAUAAUUCCUUUAUCAUUUCCUUGAAGUAAUAAUCACCAUAUUAAUAAUUUUGCACUGCAGACGUGGUAGUUCUUCUGCUUUAGCGUCUCGGUCUGAUUGCAUUUCCAUGAAGUCAGUGGACUGGCCCGAGGUCUUGCUACAAACAAGCGGCUGCUGGAAGAGAGUAGGUGAGUUUUGUUUAGUCUCUUUGCUAAAGAAAUCAGGCAAACCCAGAAAGAUGUUUGGUGGCUAGUACUAUGGCUAGGACCCAUAUGUACUGUUGAUGAAGUUAGGUGCUGAUCUCAGCAUUAUUUGUGGCUAUAGAGUGGCGUUUUGGAUGAGAAUUAUCAAUGGCUCCUCAGACCGAAGCAGAGCACACACACUAAAUCAGGGGAACGCUGUAGCCAGUCCUGUAACCAGAGACACCAUGACGCACAAGGGCCAAAGCCAACAGGACGCUCUUGGGCUGAAUAGACCACCGCUGCACCCGAAAAACAUUAUGAAGAUUGGAAACUGGAAUGUACGGACACUAUACACAAGCGGCAAUAUCACACUAGCGGCAAGAGAAAUGACCAAAAGGGGAAUGGACAUCUUGGGCAUCAGCGAAACACACUGGACAGGACAAGGAAAAGUGGAACUGGCAGGAGGAGAAACCAUCAUUUACUCAGGAAGAGACGACGACAACCAUAGACAAGGCGUAGGCAUACUCAUGUCAAAAACUGCAGCAAGAGCCCUGAUUGACUGGACACCGGUGAACGAAAGAAUCAUUUUAGCCAGAUACCACUCCCAGCACAUCAAGCUGACAAUCGUACACAUUUACGCACCCACAGAAGACGCAGAAGAGCAAGAAAAGGACAUAUUCUACAUGAGACUUCAAGAUGUACUAGACAGUAGGAACAAACACGACAUGCUGAUUAUAACAGGAGACAUGAAUGCCAAAGUAGGAGAUGGAUACCAGGAUUAUGACAGGGUCAUGGGCAAACAUGGACUCGGAAGGCUGAAUAACAACGGAGAAAGGCUGUGUGAAAUAUGCGACAUGAAUGAACUAGUCAUAACAGGAACUCUUUUCCCACAUAAAGAAAUUCACAAAGCAACGUGGGUAUCUCCAGAUGGGAAGACCAGGAAUCAGAUUGACCACAUUCUCAUCAACAAACGUUUCAGGAACUCAGUGAAUGACACAAGAGUACACAGGUCUGCAGACAUUGGAAGUGACCACUACCUUGUAUGCACAACAAUCAAGCUAAGACUCAGGAAGCGACACAAGGAAAGGAAAAGCACCAGAAUCAAGUAUGAUACAGCAAAACUGAAGAAUGAAAACAUCUUGAAGACCUUUGCCAUCCACCUAAGAAACAGGUAUCAUGUACUGGAAGAGGAAGAGCAAGGAGCACAAUAUGAAGAGGUAGAGCGUGACUUCCAAGUGAUGGAGCGAGCAUAUGUAGAAGUAGCUGAGGCAGUCUUGGGUACACCACGGAAAAAGAAGAAGCCAUGGAUCAGUGAGGAAUCAUGGAGCCUUGUAGAGGAAAGAGAAGGAAUUAAUAAGAAGAUUCUGGGAACGCAUUCUGAAAGAAUCAAGAAACAACUAAGAGAGAAGUAUGCAGAGAAGAACAAAGAGGUGAAGAGAAGUAUAAAAGCAGACAAAAGGAAAUGGAUGGAGGACAUGACAAGUGAAGCUGAGGCCGCCGCAAGAAAACAACAUAUGAAAACAUCAUAUGGAAUCACAAAGGCACUAUGCAAUGAGAGACCUAGACAGAGCACAGCAGUACUGGACAAGGAAGGCAAUCUCAUAAGCGGAAGGGAAGCAGUCAAAUCAAGAUGGACAGAACACUUCAAAGAAGUAUUAAACAGAGAAGAACCCGAAAACCCAAUAACUGAAGAAGACGAAUAUGAAUUCAACAACGGAAUGGAAGAGAUCACAGAAACUGAACCAACGCUAAGUGAAGUGAAAGAAGCCAUAAAAAGACUGCAGAAUGGCAAGGCAGCAGGAAUCGACUCAAUUACAGCUGAGCUAUUAAAAGCAGAUAUAGAGUUUUCAGCAAUGAAGGUACACCAACUGCUAGAGAAAACAUGGAAACAUGAGACGAUCCCUACAAAAUGGAAGAGAGGGUUAACUAUUAAACUAGCCAAGAAAGGCAAUCUCAAAGAAUGCAAAAACUCAAGAGGCAUAACACUUCUUUCCGUAGUGGGAAAGAUACUGGGCAGGAUUAUCAUAGAUCGGAUAAGAAAUGGAAUUGACUGCAGGCUGAGAAAAGAACAGGCAGGUUACAGGACAGGAAGGGGAACAACGGAGCAGGUCUUUAUACUUCGAAACAUAAUCGAACAGGUCAAUGAGCAGCAAGCAACACUUUAUAUGAACUUUGUAGACUUCGAAAAAGCCUUUGACUCUGUACACCAUGAAAGCCUGUGGAUCAUCUUGAAGAAGUAUGGCAUACCGGAGAAGAUUGUGAGAAUGGUGAAACUGUUUUAUGAAGACUUCCAAUGCGCAGUUGAAGACCAAGGAGAAGUAUGCGAGUGGUUUAACAUCAAAACCGGUGUCAAGCAAGGAUGCAACAUGUCAGGGUUCCUGUUCUUAAUUGUGAUGGACUGGAUAAUGAGAAGAACUGUUCAAGAAGGAGAGAAUGGAAUUAGAUGGAAGCUGACAUCAAAACUUGACGAUUUGGACUUCGCAGAUGACAUAGCAUUACUCUCCUCUACAAAACAUCACAUGCAGAAUAAAACAACCCGAAUGGACGCAGAAGCCAAGCGAGUAGGACUCAAGAUCAAUACACAAAAGACAAAAACAAUGAGGAUAAAUGCAAGAAACCAGGAAAACAUCAAGAUCAAUGAGCAAGAUAUUGAAGAGGUAAACCAGUUCACCUACCUGGGAGCCACAGUAUGUAAAGAGGGAGGCGGCAUGAAGGACCUAAAGAACAGACUAUCAAAAGCAAAAGGCUCAUUCAUCAGACUUAAAAAGACCUGGAGCUCAAACAGCAUCUCAAGAAGAACCAGGCUAAAGCUUUAUAAGACGCUAGUGGUGCCGGUAUUGCUGUAUGGAUGCGAAACAUGGAAAAUGAACAAAGGAGACAGCAAGGCAAUAGACGUAUUCCAUAAUCGAUGCCUACGAAGAAUACUCCGCAUAAAUUGGCAAGAACACGUCAGCACCAAAGAUCUGCUAGAAAGAGCUGAAAUGAAACCAUUGAGCAAGGAAGUUAAACUACGUAGAUGGAAGAUGAUUGGACACAUACUACGGCAAGACCACAACAACGACUGCAACAUAGCAAUGACCUGGGAACCAGAAGGAAAAAGAAGAAAAGGAAGACCAAAGACCACCUGGAGGCGUACCGUUGAAAAAGAAAGGGGAGAAGCAGGAUGGAAAUCAUGGGCUGAAGUCAGGACUGCAGCAGCCGACCGUGAAAAGUGGAAGCGCUCUGUGAAGGCCUUAUGUGCCACAAGGCACGAAGUGGAUAGGUAACAGGUAACCUCAGACCGCUGUGUAUUGCUAUCCUGCGGUCGUUACUAAAGUUGGUAUAACUAGAGAUGCAAGCAGUCGGUAACAUUCACCUCUCCAGGGGGUGUCUAACUCUGUGUUUCAGUGUGUUUGACCCUAAAUUAAUUAAUUAAGUGUGAUAUGAUGAUGCAAAUCUAUUAUCAGGAUGUGAAAUUGCCUUUUAUUGCCUUUUGGAAAGCUGUGGUUGAAGUGUGGACACAGGAGUGCACAGACAUACUUUAAGUUCAGCGAACAUCCCAGUCAGUCUUCUGGACAUUCCUCAUAGACAAUCCUUGUCUUGAGAGACGAAGCCCUGGGGAAAAUCCUCACUUUGGUGUGAAGACUUCCACUUUAAAAACUUUCAUGAGCAAUAUCAGCUGAGUGGACGUCAGAAAGUCAAUGGUCUGUCCUGAUAUUCCUGUUAAUGAUGCGUGUUGUGAGACACAGGUCAGUCUCACAGCGGGUUGUGAUUACAACCUUCCAUUGCAGACAGACAUUUUUUUCCUGCAUGUUGUUUGUGUAACCCUCCCAUUACAGGUUGGGAAAAACACAAACCUUGGGCUUCCAAAAAAUAACACUGUGGCCCAUGUGCAAGGACCUUGAGUCAGGAGUGUAGAGCUCUGAGCGCUGUGUUUGUAGACUGCUCUCUAACAUCUGAAUGGGGUUUUCCUACUCUUGAAAAUGUGAGGUUAAGUGGUAAACCCAAACUGCAGGCCUUAAAAUGUUCAGAGUGACAUAAGAGUAGGAAAAUCCAAGUUUCUACAUUUUAUGGUAAUCAUGGGACAUUAUGUGUGUUGGUGUGAGUGAUGGAAAAAGAGGGUAAAAGCAAAGAAAGCAGAAACUGGGGUAAAAAGGAAUGUGAAGCAGGACAUUUGAGAGUAAGUAACAGGAAAAGUGACCUUAACUGCCCAAAAGUCUGCUUUUGGUUGUUCAUUGAACCAAAUAUGUAAAAUAUUCUGACAUUAUUCGAAUCUUUUUAAGUGAGAUUGCAUUUCUCUACCACUAACUUAAACAGCAUUCGCUCUUAAGUGUGAGGAGCUUAUUGUUUGUCUUGAUUGUGGCACUCCUGCAGACUGGACUACAGAGUAAAAGGAGUGAGCAACAAGAAUAUCCAUUGAGCAUUUAGCGUGAAGUGGAGUAAAAAAUGUAGUAUUUGUCCUUCAAAAAUGAAAACAGGAAUAUGCCCUCCACUAUCCAAAAGUAAGAGUGCAAAAUGACAUCAACAGCAACCAGCUUCAUAAAACUAUUUAGACAAAUGCAUCAAGAAUAUUCAUAUCUAAAAUGCAUUGUCUUGUCUCAGUUUGUGCAUUCACAGAAGGGACUUAAGAGUGGGCGUCAAUUGUUAUAAGCACGUGUGACCUGAAGGGCAUGUGCUGUUCAUAAGAUGUGGUCUACUGUUUCAAUAAGUGAAGGCAAAUGUACUGUACAUGUGUGGCCCUCUCAGGUAUAUGUAAGAAGCACUAAAUGUAAAAAUUUGGAAUAGUUAGCAUCAGUGCUUUACAGUAAUUUACAUUAGCCUUGCCAACUCCUCUGUUUUCAGAUGUUAUAUUCAGAGCAGACUCCAUGUAGAUAAAAAUUUAAAAAACUCAAUCUCACUUUUUAUUGUUUCUUUGCACUCCUCUACAAAAACAAAUAAACUGUGUCUUCCCAAACCCCUUUUACCCCGUCCAUGAAAUCACACCUGCUGAAUAGGGUUUCCCAUCUGGAAGUUCAGGUCAACAAACACUACGGUAUGUUCUGUACUGUUUGGACAUUUAUUCAGCUUUUAAAUUGGAGCAAACAAAAACAAUUCUGCAGACCUCAGCUCUGAACUAUCUGUGCUUGUUGUGAAAGAAAAAAGGUUGCAGAGAUAAAGGAUGAAAAUGAGAAAGACACAGAAAGUGGCAGCAAAAUGAUAGGGCUGCACUGUAAGCAUUUCUCUCUGACAGUGUUGGAGCUGAGAGUGUAGUGAUUGUUUAGUCUGAAACCCAGUGAACAAAAGCAGCAUGAAUAGAUGGGGUUGAUUCCCCAGCUUGAUUGACAAAUCCCUGCCAAUUGUGUCAGCGUGUCAGUGCGCGCUUUCCACCGGCGUCAUUGUGAAGGCAAAAGAGGCUGUUGUCAUGGAAAACAAACUCUGAUCUUCAGUGUUGUCACACCAGCUCUCUGUGACUGGAAUUAGGUCAGGACUUCCCCCUUAAUGACAUACAAUGAAACAGUGUUACUGUAGAAAUAAGAUGAAAUCUCACAAACCAUUGGCACUAUUGGAAGCUCUUUGUAGAGUUUAUCUCUUACCUGAAUUGUCUGCAAUGUCCUAUUGAGAGACCCAGAGAUAGAGAAGUAAAUACUGUAGAUAUUGAGCAUUAACUGGCUAAAAAAGCUAACAAAGUGUCUCAUGUUUUUUAUUUUAAAAGACUAAAUUUAUCACUACAUUGUCUGCCUUUAAGGUUACAUUCUCAGCUCCAUAGCACUCAGGUUCACACAGCUGUGAUCAUCGCACCAGAGAAACAUAUUUGAUGUGAUUGAAAUUCUUCCUGUUUUCUGACAGGGACAAAAAAAAAAGGAAAUUCUCUGUCGUAAAAGAAAGUAAACAUCAGAUUCCCUUCCCUUCUGCCAGCAUACUUACAUUAACUCUCUUGAUGUUGCUUGAUGCACAUGAGCAAAGUCCUUCAGUGGCCAAAGUAAGCCGCCUGGUUGCAUAGGAACAGAAGAAAAAGGGAGCCAGAUAUAGUUACUGAUAACAGGGUUACUGCCCUUUCCUCUGUUCUCUCUCACCAAAAAUGUGCUGCACAGUCUUGUGUUUUGUGGAGAAGCUUUGACAUUUAUGUGAUUGAAUACCUCCACAUUUGCUUCACUCUUGCCAACUUUCCCAAUGUUGCAUUCUCUAGCUUUUGGUAUUUAUUUGUAUGUUUUUUAUGUCUGCAGACUCUUAAUGGUAGUGUGCAAUUCUUUGCAAGUUAGUUAUAUAUUAAUUUACAGACUGAUAGCUGGAGCUUUAAGUGAUUGUUGCAAGUGAUUUCUUUAAAAUUGUUUUAUUUUAUGAUUUUAAACCACCAAAAGUUACUGAAGUUUGGAGUUAAGUCCAGUCUGUAGAUGGUUCCAAGUGAAAGGUGCAGAAAACCUAAAGGCUGUCUUUCCCAGUGCAGUUCUGACUUAGGGAAUAAGAAAUUGCACAAAGGUUGUGUGACCUGUCCUUUGGGACCAGUAUAGCGGAAAAGUAGACCGGGACUUUGUCCAGAAUGGCCUUAUAAAUAAAAGUGUACCAGUGCAGGAGUCACCUUGUGCUGAAAGCAGGCCACUUAACUAUGGUGUAUAAAUCGCAGUGGUGGGUGAGAAAGCUACAGUUGGAAAUAAAUCCCUGAGCUUCAUGAUACACACUGUCCAGCAUGUAAGGACUCUGGGCAGAGGCAUGCAUGUACAACACAUCACCAUAAUCAAGGAUAGGUGAAAAUGUAGAUUCAACCAGCCUUCCUUUUUACAUGAAAGGAGAAGCAGGACUUAUUUCUAAAAUAAAAACCCAACAGAACUUUCAGCUUUUUGGCAACAUACUGAUUUGGUAACAUACUGAUUGUGCUCCUUAAAGGAGCACAAUCAGUAUGUUGCCAGUAUGUUACAAUCAAUACAAAACCCUAAGUAUUUGAAAGAAAAAAAAACUGUUUAAUUUCAUUACCGUCUUUGUUCCGAAUUUUCUUAGACAGUGUUCUGAGCCAUAGCUUUGCCUGGUUUUGUUAGCAAAGAGACCAAACACAACUCACCCACUCUCCUCCAGCAGCCGCUUGUUUGUGGGGGAGCCCUGAUGAGUCGAUCACCAAGUGCAGAUGUAUGCUUAAUUUUACGCCAGGAUAUUCCUUUAAAUUAAGUCAGAUGUAUGCUGACAUUACUGUAAGAUAAGUAAUGAUUAGCACUGAAAUUGAGAUUCUUACUAUGUCUCAUUCAGCAUCUGGAUAUGAAAAGUGACCAGAAAGGAUUUCAGAAGACAAACAGCUCUAUCAGCUAGAUGACUGAAUUGAAGUGUGCCUGUCUGUCAAAUGUGUCACACAAAAAAACCUAAAUAUUGCAACUUUAAAAGCCUGCAUUUUAACACAGAUUAGCACCAGCAUUUGUGCACCAACAUGUUGCACUAAUUCUUAUAAAAAGAAAUGAGAAAAGAGAAACAUUCGAAACACAUUAAUCAAAUGUUUGGAAAGAAAGAUAAAGGAAAGCUCUUAUAACACUAGAUGCACACUCAAUAGCAGUCAUUUCUGUUUUUAUUUAAAUGAUGUCUUUUGUAGAAGCUUCUCUCAGAAAUAAUAUUAUACCUUCUUUUAAGGACCAAAAACUCAUUUGACCACUUCCAGAUGCGUGAAGUGACCACCCCUGUUAUCCUGCGACUAUUUUAAGCCUCACAUUAUUCAGGGUCUUUGUUUCACUCCAUAAAGUGGGACCACUUUCCCUCAUUCAUGCAGCUAAUAAGUGGGGGAGUGAAAAUAGACCUUUUGUGAGCCUCUCUCUUUCAUCUUGGGUGGCCCUCGUACCGCUGAAUGCAUAAAUUGCUCUUUUGUCUUUUGCAUUGGUGUGAGCAGUCAAGCCGCAGCAAGCAACAAAAUUAUCUUUAAAAAAAGAACAAGUACCCUGUCUGUACAAAUGAGAAUACAGAAUAAACAAAAAACUUAAUAUGUACAACAACAAUUC